AGGGACAUCAGGACGGGAGCUCAAGGUGGGAACCUAGAAGCAGGAGUGAAGCAGAGACUGUGGAAGAAUACUGCUGACUUACUGGCUUGUCCAGCAACCCUUAGGGGGCUGUAUCCCCCCCUCCCCAUGUCAUCAGGAGUCAAGAAAAUACCUCAGAGCCAUGCUCACAGGCCAGUCUGAUGGAGGCAAUUCCUCAACUGAGACUGCCUUUGCCCAGGUGUGUCUAAGCUGUGUCCAGUUGACAAAAAUCCUCUCUCUCUCUCUCUCUCUCUCUCUCUCUCUCUCCUGGCAGGGUUUCUUUGUGUAGUUCUGGCUGUCCUAGAACUCCAUCUGUAGACCAGGCUGGCUUGGAACUCGGAAAUCAGCCUGCCUCUACCUUCUGAGGAUUAAAGGCGUGUGUUAUUUUUAUAAAACCACUGGCUAUGUCUGCCUUUUAAAGAAAACACUUCACUGAAAUGUUCUGGGAGGCUUUAGCUAGAGAAACCUGGUCUUUGCAAAGACCUGUAAUCCCAGCACUCAAGUUGAAGGAUCAGGAGAGCAAGGUCAGAUUCAGCUUGGUAGGGGCAGCCAGGAAAGGUACUUGUGGAUGUCAGAGACCCACCAAGCCAAAUGUUGUAAUCCCAUCCCAGCACCCCUUGGCACGAUGGGAGGCAGGAGGAAGAAGCACGUGGACACUGGCAUAUGCCAUACUCUCCUGGAGUAUACCAGGCAAAGGCAGCAUCAUACGAACCUUCCUCAACAAGGUCCAAAGCAAGAGCCGAUUCUCGAAAGCUGUCCUAUGACCUCCACGUGUGUGCUAUAACACAUGCCACAUGCCGAAGGCAUGAAGCCACUGAGUCAGAGGUGCAACCUGGGGGAAAGGUUCUGAGAUGCCAGCCAGCCUGGGUCCUGCCGGAUGGUCGGGGCGGGGGGUGGGGGGAGGGCUCGCAGCCAAGCUGACCACUGUGGCCACUGAAGGUGAAGGCCACCCAGCCGAGGGCCGUGGCGGGAUUGUUUGGCUCAUGGGCCCUGUGUUCAGGACUCUCAGAUCCCGAGCUAUGGGUUCUUUCUCCUAUAGCUCUGAGGUAGACUCCUUUUUUAAGCUGGCACAGAGGUCUCCAUGGCACUUGGAGUCUAAACUAAAAACACAACAUGCAUAUCUGGCAUGCACAAAACCUUGGGUUUGAUCUCAGCACCCAAACCAAAACAGAACAGAAGACAUCACACAACGUAGGUAGGCGAGGUCUGCCAUCAGGUAUCUACUGUGGGUUUCAGACGCCCACCAGGUCAGCUAUCAAAGAACAGCUUCAUCCCCUCUCCCCUGGCUUAUAGGAAGGGCCUAAGGGCUUCCAGUGUAGAGAUGAGUUCUAGAUGCACAGUCCUGUCAAGAAGAAUUUGCCUCCUUCCUGAAGGCUCUAGAUGCUGGGCCAUACCUGUGUCUGUCUGCAGCUCCUCUGCCCCGCAGUUUCCAGAGCUGACUUCUUGUGACAUAGUUAGAUAAUGUGUCAUUGUUGUUCCAGUUUGCUGUGUGUAUCUAUCGAACGGAGGAAAAGAGUGUAAGUUGAUUUUAAUGGACUACAAGCUGUUAUUUAAUCUUGGCAGUGGAUACCGGCAGGGCAUCCCAUACCAGAGGGAAAUCAAAGGCCGGUCCAUAACCUGCAGGGCCUGGCAUCCUUGGCUCCUCCUCUCCUCUCCUCUCCCCUGGAGUUGCCCCCACUCCUGGCUGUAGUCACACUGGCCUCCCUGAGUGCUCACUGACCUCAAGGCCUUUGCUUUUCAUGCCGCAGUCCACAUGGUACCUUGCCCCUUUUCCUUCCGGUCCAUAUUCUGCCUCCUAAUCUGCCUUUCCCCUGACCCUUGCUCAGGCUUCCUCUCCCUUGCCUUCCCUCGGUCCCUCAGUUUCCCUUGCUAUAGAUCAACCUGUGGUUGAUUUAUUUCCGUUUCUACCCACUAGAUGGUAAGCUCAACGGAACGGGAACAUCCUUGGCUUUGUGCUAGCAGGACUGAAGGGAUGCCAAGCCGCUCACUGCUUGCUCCCUCGGCAAGCAGGUCUGGGCAGACGUUUGGAAGAGGAGGUGGGCGAGGGUUCUUCCCUCUGCAUCCAUGUGGCGUUCAAGCUUUAAAGAUGAGGGAGCAUGCCAUUUCCCAGUGUUUUCAGGAAGAUAGGAUGUCGCAUUGCCUAGGAUUAGAAUGAUUCUUACUAUUUCUAGACACUCCCCCCCACCCCCACCCCCGGGAUGGAGUAGCUCCACCCACCUUGCUUCCUUGGCUGCUGCUGUGUGGGAGGAGCUCUGCCGUCUACUGGACUAUUCCAGCAGCCAUUGGCUUUUGUUUGCUAAGGGUUCGGGAAAAUCAAAGGAACCAGCCUGUGGGUCGGGGAGGGGACUAACCAGCAUCGAGGGAAAGAUGGCCUCUGGGAUCAGACCGAAGGCAUAGAUAGAUCAAUCCGUGUUGCCCUUUGUCUCCUGGGGUUUGCUGUGUGGGGCUUGCAAAUAAUGCCCCUGCUUCCCGUGACAUUCACUGAAGAGCCCUUUUUCUUGGAAGAGCUGUGGAGUGGGAUGUAUCUUCAGGAAACGUUAAAGAUAGGGGCUGAGUCAAAACUACCAGGUGGAGAAAGACCACGUCAGGACUCUCUUUCCCUUGUACAAUUUCAGGCAAGUGUUUGAGAAAGCACAGAUGGUAUGUGCAUGUGUGCACAUGUGCACACAAGAAUCCUGGGAUGAAUCCCUUAAAAUGAGAACACUUUUGUUUCCUGAUUGGCCUACAGAG
rnacentral:lncRNA from 1 species